rnacentral:rRNA from 1 species
AGUGAACGCUGGCGGCAGGCCUAAUACAUGCAAGUCGAACGGCAGCACAGCAGAGCUUGCUCUGUGGGUGGCGAGUGGCGGACGGGUGAGGAAUACGUGGGAAUCUGCCCAGUCGUGGGGGAUAACGUAGGGAAACUUACGCUAAUACCGCAUGCGCCCUUCGGGGGAAAGCCGGGGACCUUCGGGCCUGGCGCGAUUGGAUGAGCCCACGUCGGAUUAGCUAGUUGGCGGGGUAAAGGCCCACCAAGGCGACGAUCCGUAGCUGGUCUGAGAGGAUGAUCAGCCACACUGGAACUGAGACACGGUCCAGACUCCUACGGGAGGCAGCAGUAGGGAAUAUUGGACAAUGGGCGCAAGCCUGAUCCAGCCAUGCCGCGUGAGUGAAGAAGGCCCUCGGGUGUAAAGCUCUUUGUCCGGAAAGAAAGCGCCGGGUUAAUACCCUGGUGUCCUGACGGUACCGGAAGAAUAAGCACCGGCUAACUUCGUGCCAGCAGCCGCGGUAAU